AUGAACGCUGGCGGCGUGCCUAAUACCUGCCAGUCGAGCGCACAGACGAGGAGCUUGCUCCUCUGACGUUAGCGGCGGACGGGUGAGUAACACGUGGAUAACCUACCUAUAAGACUGGGAUAACUUCGGGAAACCGGAGCUAAUACCGGAUAAUAUAUUGAACCGCAUGGUUCAAUUGUGAAAGACGGUUUUGCUUUCACUUAUUGAUGGAUCCGCGCCGCAUUAGCUAGUUGGUAAGGUAACGGCUUACCAAGGCAACGAUGCGUAGCCGACCUGAGAGGGUGAUCGGCCACACUGGAACUGAGACACGGUCCAGACUCCUACGGGAGGCAGCAGUAGGGAAUCUUCCGCAAUGGGCGAAAGCCUGACGGAGCAACGCCGCGUGAGUGAUGAAGGUCUUCGGAUCGUAAAACUCUGUUAUUAGGGAAGAACAAAUGUGUAAGUAACUAUGCACGUCUUGACGGUACCUAAUCAGAAAGCCACGGCUAACUACGUG
rnacentral:rRNA from 1 species